ensembl:snRNA U6 U6 spliceosomal RNA
UUGCUUCGGCACCACAUGUACUAAAAUUGGAACAACACAGAGAUUAGCAUGACCCCCUGCAAAGGGUGACAUGGAAAUUCAUGAAGCACUCCAUAUUUUU